rnacentral:rRNA from 1 species
AUACGGAGGAUGCGAGCGUUAUCCGGAUUUAUUGGGUUUAAAGGGUGCGCAGGCGGCAUGUCAAGUCAGCGGUCAAACUGCGGCGCUCAACGCCGUACCGCCGUUGAGACUGGCAGGCUUGAGUCCGUGCGAGGAUGGCGGAAUGCGCGGUGUAGCGGUGAAAUGCAUAGAUAUCGCGCAGAACUCCGAUUGCGAAGGCAGCUGUCCAGCACACGACUGACGCUCAUGCACGAAAGCGUGGGUAUCGAACAGGAUUAGAUACCCUGGUAGUCCACGCGGUAAACGAUGAUAACUAGUUAUCCGGCGCGAUUGGGUGCUGGGUGACCGAGCGAAAGCGUUAAGUUAUCCACCUGGGGAGUACGCCGGCAACGGUGAAACUCAAAUGAAUUGGCGGGG